AUUGAACGCUGGCGGCAGGCCUAACACAUUCAAUUCGAGCGAGCGGCGGACGGGUGAGUAAUUUAUGGGUACCUGCCCGCUAGAGGGGGAUAACUACUGGAAACGGUCGAUAAUACCUCAUACUCUCGGAUGAAACCAGAUGGGAUUAGCUAGUAGGGGAGGUAACGGCUGACCUAGGCGACGAUCCCUAGCUGGUCUGUGAGGAUGAACAGCCACACUGGAACGGAGACACGGCCCAGACUCCUACGUGAGGCAGCAGUGGGGAAUAUUGCACAAUGGGGGCAAGCCUGAUGCAGCCAUGCCGCGUGUGUGAUGAAGGCCUUCGGGUUGUAAAGUACUUUUAGCGGGGAGGCGGUACCCGCAGAAGAAGCACCGGCUAACUCCGUGCCAGCAGCCGCGGUAAUUC
rnacentral:rRNA from 1 species